rnacentral:rRNA from 1 species
GACGAACGCUGGCGGCGUGCUUAACACAUGCAAGUCGAACGGAAAGGCCCUGCUUUUGUGGGGUGCUCGAGUGGCGAACGGGUGAGUAACACGUGAGUAACCUGCCCUUGACUUUGGGAUAACUUCAGGAAACUGGGGCUAAUACCGGAUAGGAGCUCCUGCUGCAUGGUGGUGGUUGGAAAGUUUCGGCGGUUGGGGAUGGACUCGCGGCUUAUCAGCUUGUUGGUGGGGUAGUGGCUUACCAAGGCUUUGACGGGUAGCCUGCCUGAGAGGGUGAACGGCCACAUUGGGCCUGAGAGACGGCCCAGAAUCCUACGGGAGGCAGCAGUGGGGAAUAUUGCGCAAUGGGCGGGAGCCUGAUGCAGCAACGCCGCGUGCGGGAUGACGGCCUUCGGGUUGUAAACCGCUUUCGCCUGUGACGAAGCGUGAGUGACGGUAAUGGGUAAAGAAGCACCGGCUAACUACGUG